rnacentral:rRNA from 1 species
UACAGAGGGUGCAAGCGUUAAUCGGAAUUACUGGGCGUAAAGCGCGCGUAGGUGGGAAGAUAAGUUGGAUGUGAAAUCCCCGGGCUUAACCUGGGAAGGUCAUCCAGUACUGUUUUUCUAGAGUACAGUAGAGGGAAGUGGAAUUUCCGGUGUAGCGGUGAAAUGCGUAGAUAUCGGAAGGAACACCAGUGGCGAAGGCGGCUUCCUGGACUGAUACUGACACUGAGGCGCGAGAGCGUGGGGAGCGAAC